UUACUUGCGUCAAUUUGCCAUUAAUCUCCUUUAUUCACACAAAAUAGUCUUUAUAAAGACUCGUCGGUUUAUUCUAAAGAUAGUCAGGGUUAUAUUAUUCGCGAUCAAGAAAAGUUGUACGCAAACAUGAAUGUCGCCGGUGCUGCUUUCUCUCCACCGAAAAAAACGUUCUGCCAAGCACUUUUCAGUUGAAGACAAAACUGGCAUUUUAAAUAUCUUCAAGGCAUAUUCGUAAGACAACCCGGAGGUAUCUAAAACGGAUAAAGUUGAGUUUACGGCUAAAGCAGCAGGUAAUUUUCAUCUUAGGCACAUUCAUUUUUACUUAUUAUUGUGUAAUUUAGGUGUAAGCAUUCCGAGUGUCUACAAGAUUCUUCGGGAGUAUACAAAGGUACACGAACUUCAUUCACCUAAAAAAUAUUAUCGACCACGAGCAAUUUUGGACAAUAUUGAUUCCGGAACUAAAAGUAUUCUUCGACGUUUGCUUCAUUCUUUCUUUGAAAGAAAUGAACCACCUACCCUGAGUAAAGUUUUGGCAGUGUUACACGAAGACGAAGACUUACCCCAUUUGAAACGAACUACUUUAUGGAAAUUAAUAAAAGAAAUAGGUUUUCGCUUCGAAAAGAGGUCACGCAGUAGUGUUCUUAGGGAAAAGGACGAAAUAAUUACUUGGAGGCGUCGGUUCUUGCGUGAAAUUAGAAAAUAUCGUGAAGAAGGUAGGAAGUUGUAUUUCCUAGAUGAAACUUGGGUAAAUGCUGGGCAUACUGUAAGCAAAGUAUGGAAGGACACCACAAUCUCACUCCAAGACAGGCAUUUAUCAACGGGCUAUCAACUGGAUUGAAAGAUCCAUCGGGCAAAGGAAAUCGCCUUAUUGUUCUCCAUAUAGGGUCC